AUAUCAAUAAGCGGAGGAAAAGAAACCAACAGGGAUUGCCUCAGUAACGGCGAGUGAAGCGGCAAGAGCUCAAAUUUGAAAUCUGGCCUCCCCCGGGGGCCCGAGUUGUAAUUUGCAGAGGAUGUUUCGGGUGCGGCCGCCGUCUAAGUUCCUUGGAACAGGACGUCAGAGAGGGUGAGAAUCCCGUCUUGGGCGGGCGGUCCGCGCCCGUGUGAAGCUCCUUCGACGAGUCGAGUUGUUUGGGAAUGCAGCUCUAAGCGGGUGGUAAAUUUCAUCUAAAGCUAAAUAUUGGCCGGAGACCGAUAGCGCACAAGUAGAGUGAUCGAAAGGUUAAAAGCACCUUGAAAAGGGAGUUAAACAGCACGUGAAAUUGUUGAAAGGGAAGCGCUUGCGGCCAGACUCGGGGGCGGGGUUCAGCGGGUGCUCGUCGCCCGUGUAUUCCUCGUUUCCCGGGCCAGCAUCAGUUUCGACGGCCGGUCAAAGGCCCCCGGAAUGUGUCGUCUCUCGGGACGUCUUAUAGCCGGGGGUGCAAUGCGGCCCGUCGGGACUGAGGAACGCGCUCCGGCUCGGAUGCUGGCGUAAUGGCCGUAAGCGGC
rnacentral:rRNA from 1 species